UGUAGCCCUGGAUGGUCUGGAACUAGCUAUGUAGAUUAGACUGGCCUUGAACUCAUAGAGCUCUGCUUGCUUCUGCCUCCCAAGUGUGUUAUGCUCCUGCCUUAAUAUUAGUUUUAACAAUUAUAUCAGGAGCGUAUUCCAGCCAAAGGCAGCGAUAUGAAUCUAUGCUAGGCAGGCAGACAGCCUGACCUUUAUGGUUGGCCCUAGGAGUGUGUUCCGUGCAGACUGAGAUGGUGACUGAUUCAUCCCUGAAGCUAAGGCUGAAUUCUCAGAAGACUGUUGGCUCCUGCUUUGAUGAUCCAGGGGCAGUUGUGUUUCCCAAUCUUCUCAAGACUUCAGCUUUUAAGCUGAGUGUAGUGGCACACGCCUUUAAUUCUAGCACUGGGGAGGCAGAGGCAGGCAGAUCUCUGAGUUCGAGGCCAGUCUGGUCUACAGAGUGAGUUCCAGGACAGUCACAACCUUGUAGAGAGACCUUGUCUCAAAAAUGACUUCAGCUUUUCCUCCACACUGUGGCUUGUUUCAGGAGUUUAUCUUUUGCUUUUAACAACUGUGAUGGCUGUGAAGUGUAGAAGAGCUAACACAGGUCUGCAAUGGGGAGACCUUUGGUUGGGGAGGCACAGUCUGAUCACUGCUUUGGAAAUAGUCUCUGGUGGAUUGGGCAGAAGAGUGGAUCAGAAGGACUUUGUAGUUACAGUCUAACAAAGAGGUAGUGGCAGCUAGAUUGGGCCCUGAUGGGGUGGGCUGCAGGGCAUUGAUCUCUUGGGGCAGCUGCCUUGACUUGCUUAGUAUUCAACUCUGCAUACGUUUGAAACAGUUCACACUUAUUUAUUGUAUGCACAAGUGUGCAUCCACACUUGUGGGAGUCAGUUGACUCUUCUCGUUACGUCAACCCACCAGGCAUUGUCAAGUAGUUAGGCUUGGAGCCUGAGCCAUUUCUCUGGCCUGGAUAGAAGUUUUCUCAAGCUAAACUUGUUGGUUUAAACAAGAAGUCUCAAUCAAAGUGAAAGAUCACACACUGGCACUCCUCCUGGGGUUUGUGGGUGGCUGGGCUGCAGGGACCUCGAGUCUAGGUUGUGAAGAUAGUUCGUAGAUGCAGCUUGUAUCUAGAACCAGCUGUUUUAACAAGGAUUACUCUUGGUGAUGCAGGUGGGCCUGUCCUAGUCAGUUGUAAGGCCUUGAGAACAAGAACUGAAUUCUGAAAAACAAAACAAAACAAACAAAAAAAGUGCUUGCUUCAUGGCCUGCAAGCACCAUCUCUGUGAGUCUCGCUCCUGCGUCUAGAUCUCAAGCCAGCCAAUGCCCACAACUGUGUGAACCAACCUCCCCACACAAAGACUUUCCCUGUGUGUGUAUGAUGUACCAUUGUACCUGGUUGUGUUUGCUUCCCUGGAGGAAGGCUGUUUUACUGUCAGUACAAACAACAGAAGCCAUGCUAGCCUUUCAGAAAAGGAAAGGAUGUAAUAUAGGCUUGCAUAGCUCACACCAACAUCGCCAGUACCGGAACCAGGCUUGGGAGCUUCUUGCCUAAGAACAGUGGCAACUGGCCUGGAGGAUGCAGGCAUCUCAAGUCCAUCCAUGUUGCCAAACCAUUACUGCUAGGGUCCCGAGAGCUGGCAGUUGUUAUCAUUAGUCUUGUUAGAAAAUGGAUUCCAUGUGGUGCCUGCACCUCACUUCCUCUGUUAUGGUCAUGUUUAUUUCAUAUUUGAUUGCUGGAGACUAGCUUAUCUGUCUGUAUUCCAGCUCCAAGAGAGGGCAAGGAGGUGAAUCUUCUGGCCGGCUUGGGUUGUGGAGAGAAGGGACUCAUCAUGUGAGAAAUCUCCUGUGAUGAAAAAAGUAUCCGAAGGGCUGGAAAUCUGCCCAGCUUUUUGCCUCUCUUUGCAGCCUUAGAACACCGAAGAGGCCACCAGAAGGUACCACAGUGACUGGACAGAAGGCUGUAAGCAGAAGGCUGGGAAGGGCUUGUAGCCCAUCGUCUAAUCAAGCUCAUGGAAAGUGUCAACAUAUUAGACGUGCUCACUUUCCUACUCAACCACAGUCUUCCGAUAAAAUGAGAUUCAACUAAAACAGCUUCUGUGCAUCACCAGACAGAUGACCCUACUCAUACACAGGAGCAUGAACCCACACACCAAAAAAGAAGAAGAAAAAACAGACAACUUGUUCAAAGUCAGAUGUCUCUGGAGUGGCAAGGCCCUGCUAUCUCCUUCCACAUCUGUGACUUGCACUCUGUGCACCACGAUGACCAUGACGAAGUUCACUGAGCACAGCUGGGUUCCCUGGAGUCUGGAAAGUGAUGCCAUUUGCUUCCUCUGCUCUGCCCUCCAUUCCCUGUGGCACCCCGUGACACCCACUGACCCAGGCUCUGCCUUCCCACUGCGCUGC